UUUAUUUUUGUAAUCUGAACAAAUAAAAACAACAAGGUAUCAAGUAACAAAAGUGAGCAUAAGCGAUAUUGCAAUGCUUGAAAAUGAGGCCUAGGGUCCAUACUUCCGCUAGUGCAAUCUCUCAACAAUGCUAAUAUAAUUGGAUCACAUAACAAUCCCUCAACGUGCGAUGAAGAAUCGCUCCAAAGUUCCUAUCUAGCGGAGAACGUAAGAAGAAAUUGUUUAUGGGUACGAAACCACCUCAAAGUUAUUUUUCGAUCAAUCUUUCCAAGAGUUCGUACUAAGAUAACAGGUUAUCCUUUCCGAUCGAUCUAUCAAGAGUUCGUACUAAAAUAACACCAUAACAAAUUCAGAUUCAUAAUACUCAAUCCAACACAAAGAACUUCAAGGAGCACACCAAGAUUUCUAUUGGAGAACAUAAUAUGAAAACGUGCAGUCAACCCCUAUGCCUAGAUUAACCCAAUGUCACCUCGGGAAUCCGCGAGUUGAUGCCACAACAUAUAUCAAGUGAAUCGCUUGAAUACCCCAAUGCCACUACGGGUAUCCGCAUGCAAGAUAUAUAUCAUGUGCUCUCAAACCUGAAUAUUCAAUCCAACACAACGAGAUCUUAAAGUGAAAGACUCAAUUCAUCACAACAAUAGCACGAGACAAACACCAUAUGAUCCAACUAUAUUAACAAGGCCCGUGAUAUAUCAAGAUCAUGACAUCUCAAGAACAUGAGAGAGAGAUUAAACACAUAGCUAGGUACAUACCCUCAGCCCCGAGGAUAGACUACUCCCUCCUCGUCAUGACCUCCACCGGGAUGAUGAAGAUGGCCACCGGAGAUGAUCUCCCCUCUCCGGUAGGGUACUGUAACGUUUCUAGAUUGGUAUUUCAUGGCUACAGAGGCAUGCGGCAGCGGAACUUCCCCAUAUUGGUAUGAAGUUCAUUUACACACACAAAUUUCAACGACCCCAAACCACCCCGGAGACAAAAUCCAAGGUUGAAAUACCAACGUUCUCACCAAAUUGAGAUUGAGAUUCGACACACCUAGAACUACAACAUCAUGAGCCAUGACCAAAUCGGGAUUGAAACGUCGGGAGAUUCCAGCAUCCCCGCCUCGAACCAUCCACACGAGUACUAAACUACAAUGGAUUCCAUCAUCCCCAACCUCGAACUAAAACACAACGACCGACCGACCGAAUCAGGACUAAACUUCCGGGGAUUCAAUCACCACCGGCUGACCAAAUGAAGAAGGGUUGGGGAUAGGGGAAGUAGAUGAACUCACUAGCAGGAACGACCGCCGACCUUCGCAGAAGCAACACUCAAUCCUCGCCUCUAAUCGUCGUGGAAGCAGAUGUUCCCUGUGAUGCCAACGUCGUGGAAGCGGAUAGGGGAAGGAGAUGAGGGCGGAGUUGCUUCUCGAUUGAAUGUAGAAUCAAAAUCGAGAGGGGGGAGGAGCAGUUGGCAAAGAAAUUGGACAAACUCCGCUAGAUUGAAGCGGAAUCAAAAUCGAGGAGAGGAGAGGGAAUCAUGGGAGACCGCGGCGAUUGGGGAGAAAACAACAGGAAAUUGAGGGGGGGCACUUGCGAGCAAAACAAGCGCGCCCACGGCUACGCUCGCGCAUGGAAGUUAUCGUGCGACGAGCUUCGGCAUCCACUCUACGAUCGACGGGUUCAAGGUUGUUCGGAUCUUUAGCAAAGCUCCAAAUGUUUGGAAAAUAAAAAAAAUC
rnacentral:lncRNA from 1 species